UACGUAGGGUGCGAGCGUUAAUCGGAAUUACUGGGCGUAAAGGGUGCGCAGGCGGCCCCGCAAGUCAGGCGUGAAAUCCCCCGGGCUCAACUUGGGAAUGGCGCUUGAAACUACGGGGCUGGAGUGUGGCAGAGGGAGGUGGAAUUCCACGUGUAGCGGUGAAAUGCGUAGAGAUGUGGAGGAACACCGAUGGCGAAGGCAGCCUCCUGGGCCAACACUGACGCUCAUGCACGAAAGCGUGGGGAGCAAACAGG
rnacentral:rRNA from 1 species